rnacentral:lncRNA from 1 species
CAAGCUUACCAAAGGCAAUUUUAUUUGCAGAGAGAAUUGACUAAGAAAGGUGUUGUGAUUGGGUAACUGGAACAAUGGGUUGUAGCAGUUUCUCAAUGAUUUUAACCGUUCUGGUUCUAACAUUUUCGUCCAUGAUGAUUGACUCAAGGGUUGCAGAGGCACGCGUGGUGCCAAAAUCAGACCUUCCAUCGGUUUCCAAAGUUGGGUUACCAGUGACUUUGCCUAUCGUCUUGCCAGUGCCACUCCCAGAAAUCCCUGUCCCUGUCCCUGUUCCUGAUCUGGGCGUGCCAGUUCCUAAAGUGCCGGUGCCAGUUCCUAUCCCCGUGCAUCUUCCUACCUUGACAAUUCCCAAACUAAAGGUAAACGUUGGAGGCGUGAAAAUCCCAUGAGCACUUACCUGAAAUCUAUCAGUCACUACUGCUACUGCUUUUUCUCUGGUCAAUUCCACUGUUACUUAUUCACUGUAUUGUUUAUAUUUUGUUCUUUUUGUUCCGUUCGGGUUUAAAUUCUACUUUAUUUGUCAUUCAAUAAUGUAAUCUUCAGUUUAUAUGUUGUUUCAGUCAGUUUAUUAUAUAUGUUGUGUCAAUUUCUAACUAAAGCACACAGAAUAAAACUCUGGAUGACAUAGACUACUGCAAACACCACUCCAAUUAAGUUGACAAUGUUCGAAUCUCGGCUAAACCAACAAUAUUUCAAUGCAUAUUAUUCUUAUGAAAAAUAAGCAUGUCGGGAAGAGAAAUUGAUGUUUACAAAGUCGAUAAUAAGGUUAAAUUCGCAUUUAUUUUUUAUAUUAUAAUUUUAAUUAUAUUUUUAGUUAAUAGAAGAUCUAUAAGAUACUUUCUUGAACUAAGAACUUCUUUUAAUGAUUCUAGUUUAAUAUUAAGGUUCUAAAAUUUAAGCUUAAUUCAGCAUCAUAUAACCACUUCAGUAAAGUGUACGUUGAACAUUAUGAUAAUAAGAUUCUCUUUAUCCCACUCUUAAUAUGUCUAGUCCUUGGUAUGAAAGGUGUUUUGAAGAGCUUGCAUUUAUUAAAAAUAAGGUUAAAUUAUAUAACUUAUAUUAUAAGCCAAUAUUUACAUAAUAUUUACACGACUAAAUCUUAAUCAUUAAACUAAUAUAAUUAUUUGAUUAAGUAUAAUUAUCAAUUAAGUUUAUAUUUGAACCAACAUGUCAAUUCUAAUAUAUCUAAAUAUUAUAUGACUAUUAAAAUAACUUUUAAAACUCCGCGAUCAUCCCUGAUCUUAUGAUAACAUAAAAAAUUAACUAUUAUUUAAAUAAAUAAUAUGAAAUUUGUGUGUAUAAUUUUAAUAAUAUACACCAAUCAACAAACUUUUACACGACAAAAAUAAAACUGAAAGCAGUUAUACUGUGUGAAAGUUCGAAAUAUUCCCUCGUGAAAAAAAUCCGUGACCGUCAGAUUGAAUGGUUGGAAUGUUACGAAGAAAACCUUCUCACUAGGUAAAAGUCACCCCAAAAUUAUAGUUCGACAUCCUUACAAAAAAUCCUCUCACUUGGCAAUUUUACGUAGAAAAGUGAUAUUUUAACACCAAUUUUUAACAUUAUUUUGAUACUGCACACGUGUUAAAAUGUGAUUGGAUGAUUUCAAAUUAAAAAAAAAAGUUAAAACAAGGACAUAUCUGAAAGAGAAAAACUAAAGUUUUUUUUUUUUUAAUUUGAAAUCGUCCAAUUAUACUUUGAUAAGUGUGGAGUGUUAAAAUAGUGUUAAAAUAUCAUUUUUCUUUUAUGUAAUAAUAUAGUACUGUAUAUUAAAAUUUUAAAUUAAAAAAUAAAAUAAAUACACUUAAAAUGUUAUUGUUAUUAUCAUUAUUAUAAGUUGUUAAAUAAGUAUACAAAAAUAUUUUAUUUCAUGAUGCAAAGAUACCAUAGUUAAAAAAAAUGAAUCAUCUUAAAAAAAAUUGACACCCUUAUUUAAAAACAUUCACAUUACAAAUAAUGUUUCUAAUAGUAAAAUAUUACAAUAAGACAUUUAAUAACAAUAUAAAUUAUAUUAUUCAAUAAAAAAAAACAAUAAAACUAUUGAAGUAGGAGUGAAAAAUAUGAGGGAGGGCCAAUGAAUCAUCACCCUAUGAACAAUUUCACACUAUUAUUUUCACUCUCUUUAUCGUUUCUUUUCUUUUCUUUUUCACCUUUUCGCAUCAUACCGUCCUAAUAAAGACUUAAUUAUAAUAAUUAAGAAGCUAUAAUAAUUAAACAUAUUAGUAGCUGUAGUUAGGAAAUGUAGGUUAUCAGAAGUUGAAUUAGAGAAAUUAUAUAUGUAUGUAUAGAUAUCAGUGUAGAAAGGAUAAAAAAAUAAAAGAAAAAAGAACGGGUCAAUCGAGUUUUCAAAAUAUAAGAGUUGAUUUCAAUGUUGGACUACUUACCACAUUUUAAAACGGAACAACUCUUAUAUUUCACAACAACCUCAGAAAAAACAAAGUUGGAUGUCCUACUUCUGAAUCCCACUACCAGGUAGUCCAACAACAUAUUCAGACGUGGCUACGUAAGGUUAGCAAACAUGGAGUCAUGAAUUUUGUAUAAAAAGGCCAACCUGAAAAUGAACACAACUCACAAAAGCUCAAAGCAAAAGUUUCCUCAAGAGUAAUCAAGACAAUGGCCUCCUCCAGUUGCUUCAUCUUUGCUUUUUUCAUUGCUAUGUCCUUCUCAAGCAUGGAUAUUGGGCUGGCAGCUCGUCAUCUCCUGCAAACAACAACACCAAAUUUACCAGGCAUUCCCUCUUUCACUAACCCAACAUUGCCACCUUUGCCUUCAUUUCCAACACUGCCUCAGCCUCAGGCCACUGUUCCACCUCUGCCUACAAUCCCAUCUCUGCCACAACCAUCUCUUCCUACCGUUCCAAAAAUCCCACAGCUCACUCUUCCACCACUUCCUGCCACUUCACUUCCCAACAUCCCUUCCUCAUUCCCUUCUCUCUCUCCACCACCUUCACCUUCCACUCCUUGAAUCAACCUACUUUUCCACUGCACUCGUCUUUGGAGUUUGCUUCUCAUCAUUCAUCCAUGAUUAUGUUAUACGUUGUUCUCUUGUUGAUCGGGAGUUUUCAUUUUGCUUUGUUCUUUCGUCUUAUUGCAUGCAUACGAUUGCUGUUUUGUCUUCCCUCUCUUUAUACUUCAUGUACUUGAGUAUCAUCUGUUGUUAUAGGAUACAUACACGUUAUAAUAAAUAAUACUUCAUUGAUUUCUCAGCUCCCUAUUCAGUUCUUUCUAUUCAAAAUAUCUAACAUAAUAAUCUCAAUAUUCCUAGUUUAAAAUAAUGUUAAAAUAGUUAUAUCCCGAGGACUUCACUAUAAAUGAAAAAAAAAACAAGUUUCGUAUAUUGGCUCAAAAUAUAUCCAAAUAAUAAUUAAUGUCAUCUUAUUUUAUUAAAAUAUUUUAAAAUAUUCUUCCUUUAACUUAUAUUUUAUUGUAAAAUACUCUCUCUCUCAUAAAGUAUAACUUAAGAGAAUUAUUAUUUUAAAAUAAGAUCAGUAAAUUUAAAUUAUAUAUGUUGAUUAAUUAUGUUAACUAAAGUCAGAUUUUUAACUUAUAUUCGAGACUCGAAACAAGUAGUUUACACCGUUUUUAUUAUUACAAUUAAGCUUAUAUUAUUUCUUUAUAUAAAACUUUUGAAUCUUUAAUGUUUACGAAAACAAGUAGAGAUUAUAAGAUGCGUAAUUUGAGAAUUUAAAGGAUGUAUCAUUUCUUCUUAUCGUGUUAUCACACGGAAAGAUUUAUUGAAUAACUUUGAUAGCAACCUUACGAAAUCUCAAAAAAUAUCACUUAUAUAUCUUUCGUAAAUAGACAAACAUUUCUGAAAGUAAGGACAUAUAUAUUUACCAAAGCAGGACUGAAGACACGUGAUUUAAAUAAACAUAGGAAUUACAAAUAUUUUUUACGAAUAAUAUUAAUAUAUUAUGAAAAAGGACAUGAUAUUUUAAUAACUCUUUUUUAAUAAUUUUUUAACAAUUUUUAUUGAUCUGUUUGAAUUUAUUUUAAAAAAAUAUUUAAAACGGAUUAAUAACAAACUGUCACUUGUUAACUGUUCUAAAAAAGAGUUGUUAAGGAGACUUAUAGAUUUUUUUGAUGAUUUACUUUGGAUUAGUAGCAAUUAUUGGGGUUGCAUAGAAAGAUUUGGAUUGGAUUUAGUGAAAACUAACAUGUGCAACAGGAUGCAGUUGGUGGUCUAUAAAAGGGCACUACCACCUCAAGCAUACCCAAGCCAAUUUUCUUUGCAGAAACCAUUGAUUAAGAACAGUGUAGCUCUCAAACAAUGGGUCGUAGCAGUUUGUUUAUCCUUUUUCCUCUUCUGCUUCUGACAUUUUCAUCCAUCACAAGGGUUGCAGAAGCACGUCUCACCACAAAAAUACUCUUUCCACCGGAAGAUGACAUUCCUGAUGUGGAAGUUACACUCCCAAUUAAUAUCACACUCCCUGAGCUUGAGUUUCCUAAACUGCCAAUUCCCGACGUAAUUUUUGUUGAGGACGCCAAAAAAACCCCAUGAGUGCCUACACUUCCUCAAAUCUAUCAGUAAUAAUAUCUUCUUCAUUUGCUCCUACUCACUUCUGCAUCUUCAAUGUACUAUUUAUAAAUUUGUUGUUGUUGUUGCAGUAAUUCCAAGGUGGUUCUGUCGGCUGCUUUAUGUGUCCUUCAAUUACUUGUCAUGUUCAGUUUAUAUGUUGUUUCAGACAGUUUUACUGAAGCAUAAUAAUUAUUGUGAUUCGUGAUGUUGUAUCGGACUUCUUGUCUUCUACUUCAAUAAAUUACUGAAUUUCUUUUGUUUGGUAGAAAUCUUCCAUUUCUGAAUUCUCUGACUGUUGUGGAAGCACAAGUUCCUUUCAUUGUCACUUAAUUAAGCUAUUUUUAAGCUUCAUCUGUUUUCUCUUUUGGCACGAUUCGUUUAUCAUCUACAGACAUUAACCAAUUCUACUAAUUGUCAUUAUGGCUUCUAAUUCUCAAUAUUCUUUAUUACAAAUUUCAACUAAAAAGUAUAAUUUUGGUGGAUUCUCCGAACAUAUAUACACAUCAAAUAUUCUGUCCUUGUAAAAAGUAUAAUUUUUACCUUUCAACUACAAAUUAAUGUGAUGUUAUCCGAAGGACUAAUUUUGUUAUUAUUAGGAAAAUGAACACUCAGAUGGUGUUACAUCUAUUUCUAGAGCUUGAAAACUAACAUAUUAAGAUCUAACUAAAAGAUAUUACAUUUAAUGUAAGAUGAUGAAUUAUUGUUAUUCUUCUUGUUUGGAAGCAUGUUGGAUGAUGAUGUGAUUCAAUGACUUUCACAUUAUUAUUUUCAAUUUACAAUGAUUAAUAUUGAUGCUUCCCUCAACAUCAUUGAUGACAUUUUUUUUCUAAUCCAAUAUGUUUCAAUUAAAAUAAUAAAAGUUAUCCACCAUUUUAUAUUAAUUGCAAUAAUAUUUUUAUAUUAAAUACAAAGUCUAAAUAACUUUUUAAAAUGCAUAAAUAAAUAAUGAAAUAAAAUAAUACUCACCUACAAUUAAUAAAAAAAAUUAAACAUGAAAAUUAAUUAAGGAAAUAUAAAAAUGAUGAAUAUUCAAUGAACUCAAACUUUUUUUUAAUAAAGCUUCAAUUGAAAUUACUCAAAUUUUAUAUGUAGUUGAAAUUUAAUUAAACUUACAAAAUUUUAUAAGAGUAUUUUUUAUAUAUAGAUUUAAUCUUCUUUUUGUUUAAUUUUUUAGUAUUUUUAAAAUUUUGCUUUUAGGUUUAGAUUUUAAAAGUAAUAUACUUUUAGUUCGCUGUCUAUCUCUGAAAGGAAAUAAUGAAUAACCUUUAUAUAAUUUAUAAAGAUCAAAUAUGAAAUAAAUUAAAUAAAGAUUAAAAUUUAAAAAAAUUAAAAACAUAAUCGCUAUCAGUGUAGCAGAGAGAACAUGCUAUGCAUGUGAGUGAUGCAGCUCCCUUUGAGUUUACCAACAUUACUGGAAAACUUCCGUCUUAUGAGAAAAAACAAAAUUAAUGGUAGGGUAGAAAAAUGACCAUUCAAGACGGUUUAACGGUUAUGAAAGAAGAAACAAGAUUGCCAGGUGGCAUAUUUCCAUUUUUAAGUGUUGAAAAUUAAAAUUAGGGACCGAUAACUUUUAUUAUUUAUUCUUAUUUUUAAUUUAACGAAUAUGAAAAAAAUUAUCUCAUCCCACUUGUAAUUAAUACCUGGUAUAUUUGUACCGUGUACUUACCUAUAUUAUUAUUUUUUCAUAUAAAUUAAUUAAUUUUAAUAAAUAAUCACAAAAUAUAUUUAAUGUCAAAUAUUUAAAAACAAAUGAUAAUUAUAUAAUUUUAAAUUAAAAUACUAAAUAAAAGCAAAAUAAUUACAUAAUUUAUUAUACAAUUACGUAUAAAAAAAUUUGAUAAUAACCCAAACAUUUAUUAGUUUUAAAAAUAUUAAGGGUUAAAUAUGUUUUUCGUCCCUUAACUAUUGGCCGUUUUUGUGUUUAAUCCCUCUUUUAAAGUAUGGUACAACUUAGUCUUUCAACUUUAGAAAACUAUGGUUUUAGUCUUUUUUACCAAAUUUUUUUAACUUUAUUUGUUGUUCAAGCACGUUACAUUAUAGCAUUUGGAUUGUUUACACAUUUUGACACAUUUUUGCUUCAAUGUUAACUGAGAAACACGUUUGAAACAGCAAAUAAAGUUAAAAAAAUUUGGUAAAAAAGACUAAAACCAUAGUUUUCUAAAGUUGAAGGACUAAAUUGUACCAAAGAGGGACUAAACACAAAAACGGCCAAUAGUUGAGGGACGAAAAACAUAUUUAACCCAAAUAUUAAUAAAAUAAAGGUGAUAAAGUUAAAAUAUAUUUUUAAAAUUAUGAAGAAAAUAAAUAUUUAACUAUUUUUUUAUUUCUUUCUCUAAAUUAAACUGAAAUAUCUUUUUAAUUAAUAAGUUUGUUUUCACUAUUAUUUCUCUUUGCUUAAGUUCUUCAUUCUUUUUUUUUUUUUUACUUUGGGUUUAAGAUUAUUUAAACAUUUUGUUCCUUGACAACUUAUUUAAUGGAAAACCAAAGAAAUAAAAAAGUUGAGUAAGUGGUGUCCCAACGGUUCGUGUAAAUAGUACGUGUAUAACUAAGAUAAAUACAAGGGACAAACACAAACACUCGUUUAACAUUAAUUAUAUAUCAUAUUUUUAUUUUAAAAUAUAAAACCAUGAAGAAUCAACCAUAAAAUUAAAAAUAUUAUUUUUUUUAUCAGAUGUGUGUUAGAAAAACUUAAGGAUAUUUAUGUAAAAUUUUUCUAAAUAAAAUGAUACGACAUAAACUUGUGAAAUAAGUAAUUAAAUUAAUAUAAUCUGUAAUAUCUCAAGAAAAAAAUACAAAAAUACAAACAUAAUGCAUUCUGACUUCUAUUUCUACGUUAUUUUCAUUUUUUUUUUACUUCUAAUCAAAAUCGACACUAAAAAUAUUUACAAAUUAACAAACUCAAAACGUAACAACAUUUAUUUCCUAUUUUUUUGUCUGUAGAAUUUAAAGGAGAGAAUUGUGAUUAUAUUAUAUCUCAUGAAUGGUAUGAAUAACAUUUUACUUUAUAUCUCAUCUCCUUCGUUAUGCUUUAAUAAUAAGAAUAUAUUUUUCUUCCUUUCUUUUCUCUCAUGCUAUAUACACAUACUUACCUUUUAAUUAUCACAACAACUCAUUAUACUUAAAAAAAGGUUUCAGAAUAAAUAUAUUAUUUUUAUAAUAUUUUCAUUUUUCGUAUUAGAAAAAUUAACUGUUCCUAUAAACAAGGAAUUAGAAACACAGCAAGUUUUAAAAUUCAUUGCUCUGUAUUACCAAGUCACAUAGCAUAAUAUGGCCAUUCCUUGUGAGCUUUUUCUAAAACUUGUUUUUGGAAACUAAGACUAUAUAUAUAAUAUGUGUACAUAUGGAAGAAUAACUACAACUCUUAAAUAUUCUAUUUUUUAAAAUUUUAUGAUAAACGUGAAAAUUUUGUCUUUAAAAGAUAUAUUGGAAAAUUAAAAUAAGAAUGUCUAUUUAAAUUAUUUUUAACCUAAUUUUUAAAUGAUACAGAACUAUUCAGUAUAUCGGAAUAAAUCUCAAUUAAGAUUUAAAAAGGAAAAAAAAAAUCGUCUUUACAACCACUUUUUUAUUUUCUCGACUGAAGGUUAAGAAAGCCAAAGUUUAUCUUUGAAACUAUUGAAAUUCUUAUCAAUAAUUUUAUCCUUAAAAAAACCCUUAAAAAUAGAAAAAAAUAUUUAAAUUAAUAUUUACAUCGAUUUCUAAAAAAUAUAAGCCUAUUAAAAUUCUUAUCAACAAUUUUAUCCUUUAAAAAACUCUUAAAAAUAAAAAGAAAAAAUAUUUAAAUUAAUAUGGACAUCGUUUUUUAAAAAUCUAUCAAAACCGUUCUAAUUACGCGAAAUUUGAAGACACGCGAUAAAACUGCUUUCUGAUAUAUAUAUAUAUAUAUAUAUAUAUAUAUAUAUAUAUAUAUAUAUAUAUAUAUAUAUAUAUAUAUAUAUAUAUACGUAUCUCGGUUUAGCUAUGUUGUUUUGUUAAAAGAUACCUUUUUCUUUUCUUUUACUUGAUUGAUCUAAUACGGUCUUAAGAGUUAAAUAAGAGAAUGUAAUAUGAAUUUUUCGUUUUAUUUUGUGAGAAGAUGUAAGUUUAAAUCGAAACUUUGCAUCAGUAUUCAGUGCUGUAAAAAUGAAAAUAGUGGAAAAGGUUAUUUAAAAAAAUCACGAAAAUAAAGUCCUUUUACAUGGUGGUGAGAUAGACUUGGUCAAAGCCUAAAAAUGAUAGUGUGAUUCUGAAUGUCUAAAGCGUGAGUGUGGGAGAAGGCAUUGGAUGUAGGUGACGUUUGGCAGCUGAAAUGAACUGCGUUAGAUGACCCAACUCAAUUCAACUCAACACUCCUAUUCCCCCUUUUCAAACCCCUAAAUAUGUAUAAGUUGGUCAUCCUACGUUUGACAUGUUGGGAGCUAUAACUUAAUAUCACCCAACGACCUUAUCAGUCCAACAUAAUAAAAUUAUUUAUCUAUUCAAAUAAAGGAGGAAGGUGAACAAACAAAAACAUUUGUUAGGCUCUAUUUUCUUCUCCAAAUAAAGUUCAGCUGAAACCAUAGCAAGCCCUAUAUAUAUCCUUCAGCCUUUCAUACAAUCUCAAACAAAAUACAUACCAUUUUCGUACAUAGCAAUAUCUCUUCUUCAUUAUUGCACUCCUGUCAACUAUGGCCUCCAACAAAUCAUUCAUCACUGCUUUUCUUCUUGCUCUCACCUUCUCAGGCAUGAUGAGCAUGAGCAUAGCAGCUCGCCAUCUUAUGCAGACAACUGCACCAACAUUGCCAACAUUACCUUCAAUUCCAGCCCUUCCUCAGGGUAAUGUUCCACCACUGCCCACUAUCCCAUCUAUACCUACCACUUUGCCUCCACUUCCUACCAACAUCCCUAAUAUUCCAACAAUUCCACAGCUCAAAGUUCCUCCAUUGCCCUCAAUCCCAACAUUCACAAUUCCAACUACUAUGCCCUCCAUCCCAUUCCUCUCCCCACCACCUUCCACCUCCACCCCUUAAACUACCUUUCUUUUCUUCUUCCUGGCCAAGCUACCGUCUCAGUCUGAUUCGUAGCAGUGCCAAAUUGCAUGCUUCCUAUAGAUAUAGCCUGAUUCCUUUUGUGUGAGAGCCUUGUGUGGUGUUUUCCUUUUACUUUUGUCGUAUGGUGUGAAAAACUUAUGUGUGAGUUCUCGCUAUUGUUUCUACUUUUUCUUGUAUUAUAGAUUACAGAUUGCGAAUGAUUACAGCUAUACAACUUAUAAUGUCUUAUCCUUUAAUUUAAACUCUUCCAACAUCCUAAUUAGAUGUCUAACUAACUGCAUUUAUAUUAUUACUAAGUGUUUCAAUAGAGAAAAAAUGAAGAAAAACAUCACAUUAUUUAGUUGAUGGAGAAAGGUAAGAACACAAAUAAUACACCGAUAUAUUCUUAUGAUUAAGCAUAAUGAAGGAGAUGAGAUAUAAAGUAACAUAUAUAUAGAUGUUAUUCAUACAAUUCAUGAGAUAUAAUAUGAUCAUUGUUCUCUUCUUUAAACUCUUCUAAUAUUGAAGAUAAAAAUAGGAAAUAAAUAUCCAUCGUUUUCUUCUCCUGAUACUCAAACUCUCAAACCAUUCCUCCACUCUCCCACGGAAACAAAAUAGCUAAAUGAAAGACAGAACACCGAUAAAAUGCCCGAUGUACAUCUAUAGGAAAGAACCCGAUUUUUUUUUCAUAAAUAUGCUAUAAGCAAAGUCGCACAGGUAAAUCUAUUUGCACUUCAUCCAACCCAAAAUUUAAAAACACAAAAAAGCUAAAGAAAUCACCUCAAUUCUGUUGAAAAAAUGCAGAGGCUUAAGCUACUGACUUCCAAUUAUUAGAUACGAAAAUUCACAUCUCCACCACGGAAGCAAACGUACUAUAAACCUAUGUUCUGGAAAGCAUUCUGCAUCCUCCGAACUACAUUGAGUUUAAAGAUGUUUCUACAAAGUUACAUUCAACUCUUGAAAACUGAAGUCCGAAAAUGCUAUAAGCUAUGCAUGUUGAACAAUUUGUACAUUCUAUCCAAUAUAGAACCUUUUACUACUACUUGCUCUCUAACAAGAAGUCCCUCCCCUCCCCACAAACAACUCAGACAUUCGCAAACUAUCCUUGGAAAUAUCUCCAUACCAAGAAAUUUUGUGGCAUCAACAUUGCCCAACAUGGGGAAUUCUCCUGUCCACGUGAUUUAUCUUCAUUCCCCCAAUAGCUGACUGGCCAGAGUAUAGGUUGCCUUCACCCUUCAUUCCCACACUUCCACCCUUCUCUACCAGUUCCUCCCACAAUUACCAAUCCUUGACUAGGUAGUUCCAUAAUUAAUUUGCGACAACAUAUACAUGCUCCAGAGCAGAUACAUAUAGCGUAAUUAAUAUUGCUUAUGUGCAAUUCUGCAGUAAAACAAAGGUUCACACCACAGCACUAGCUUUCAAUUCCCACCAUGUUUAGUUACUUAGUUUGCUGUACAUUGAUUCGGUGAACCAUGCCAAGUAGCACCAUGUAAUGGAGCAUCGUAAAAUAUCAUUUUUCCCAUUUGCUUUCUAGUAAAAUGUCUGUUCUGUCGCAUUAAAGUACCACUUAUUUUUCCUCUACAAAUUUGGUGUACAAGGGAAAUGUUUAAUAAGGGUCAAUCAACAAUUCACAUUCUCAAUUAGUUAAUUCAAACAAUUCCGUGCACAUUGUACCAUUAAGCAUCCAUAGCUAAUCUAGAUAUACAAAAACAUGAUUAAGAUUCGACUCCAAAGUAUUGAAGAUUCAGCCGGUAUAAUAAGCCUCAAUCAAAUUCUAGUUUCAUCAAAAAGUCAUACACAGAACCUGUCAAUCAGCAAAACUGAAUACAUAUCAAAGAUAAAAUUCAAAGUAUGUAUCUUAGCUGGCUUCAUAUUUGGGGUCUGCUGUGACUAAGUGAUAAGCUAUAACCAAAGCAAAAAUCAAGAUGCCGAGAAAAUUGGCAAGGACUCCCAAGGCUUCAUCAUCAAUCAUAUCUCUUACGUUCUAGAUCUGGACAAGACAAACAAUAAAAUCAAAUCAAAUAAUUAAGAAACACAUCAAAUGAAUUGCUUCACAGUAAUCAACGUAAAGGAAUUGAAAUCUCAGUCAUAUUAUUCUGCGAACACGGCAAAUAGAGAAAUUAAAAAAAAUAAGAAAUGGACCUUUUGUGAGGAAUUGAAUGAAAUUGUUUGAUGGAUGGCAGUACGGUGAGGAACACGCACAGCCCCCGACUCGUUAAGAAGCAAGGGUGUAUGCGUUGACCUAGACUUUUUGCCCACAUUCUAAACGCCGUCGUUUAUAUAACGAUUUAACGCACAAAAACAAAAGUCCAAUGUGGCUGCUGGGAUUCGAGCCCAGGUCUCCACGGCCACAACGUGGAAUUCUUACCACUAAACUACAGCCACUUCAUGUUAAAAAGUAUUUGAUUAAUCUUCAUAUUGUAUGUAACAAGCACAAAAUGUUAAUUUAGUCCUUAUAAUUAACAUGAUUAUUAAAAAGUUCCUUACUAAGAACAAAUUUAAUCAUGUUAGACUAUUAAAUUUAAUAUUUAUGCUUAUGUACCGUAUUAUCUAGAAAUUUGUCGACAUUGAAAAGUAUACACUAAUAGCAAUUAAAAGUUAAAGUUUUUUUUUUAUUUCUCUUAUUUUUUUAAUAUUUUUUUCUCGGUUCAUCUUAACUUUUCUCUAAUUUAUUUUUAUAUUAAGUUCGUCCUUUAAAAUUUAAUACUUGCAAUCGAGAGAUGUGUAGAAUUAUGACUUUAAAGUUCAUGAUCAAAUUUGAGUUAAUUGUUUUACAUUGUUAGUUUUUCGAUUCCUUUAGCUGAAUAAAUAUAUGAAAGUAAACAAUGUGAUAUUGUUUUUUCAGUUUAAAAAAUUAGUAUAUUUUGUUUGAUUAAAGUUAAAAUCCAAAAAUCAAACCAUAAAGUUGUGUGUUCUCUAUGUAACAAAAAAAAAAUGCAUAACACGUAUUUGAUCACAUAACUAUCAAACUACUAAUUUAUAAAUGGUUACAUAUAGUAAUAGAAAUUAAUUAAACCAUAUACUUCACUGCUAAGAUUCUAUAAGAUAUAAAAUAUUCUACCUAAAUAAAGUUACUAACUUAUAUUAUAUUCGAUGACUUAGGAGCUAUCAUUAUUAAUGAGUGUAAAAAUUUUAUAAUUUUUUGAUCCGGUAUGAGGCCGAGUUACUCAAUCUACACAAUUUCCUCUCCUCAUAUCGUCUACUAGUUCUCUCCACCAGUUCUUCCUUGUGCUUGCUGCACCCGAAGGAUACCUGCCAAAGGUACUCCAAUGCUUAAGUUAGUUAAGUUAUCCGAUCGGAUUUUUAGAUUCAGAGAUAAAUGCGUAAUAAAAUGAACCUACCUACCUGGUACCUUUGACCUGUAUUUAUAGUGUUGGACAUAGGCCUGGUAUUAAGGUUGCCCUAAUUGAGAUCCAAUUACAGCCCAACUACCUUAAGCACGUGAUUGUACUAAUAAUUUUGAAUUUACUUUGGCCAUGAGACCGUUCACCUGCUACCGUUCUUUACUCAUUCCUACCGGCCGUCUCGUGAGAUAACCGAUCGCCUCUUUGGAUGUCUUCCAUGAGUUGAUUUAUCUUAGUCGACCGUCUGACCGUAUUCUUUUACCAGAACCGUGGUCUCUAGUACACUUUUCUUUAAGCUCUUACGAUAGAGGACGCAGUUACGUUGUUGCUACAAAGAGGAGAGAGAUACCAACAAAGCAAAUAAACUAGAAAUGAGAUAAACUCAGACAGAGAGACACCUGGAAGCGGUUUUCACCCACGAGACCGAUAAGCGGUUCUCACCUAUAAGACCGACAAGCGGUUUUCCACUGUGUUUUCCCAAAAUAAUGAAAAAUUAUCGACUCACGUGGGUUAGGAAGAUUAUUAAAGUUAGUUUUUGGGUAAUAUAAUGGAAAUAUGUUUUCAACGAUCAAAAAAUAUUUUGUUAUAUUCUUUUAACGAUCAAACAACUACGAUUUAAAAAUUUUAAUUUAAUUUUAGUGUAUUUAUAAUAUAAUAAUAUAUAAUGAAAUAUUGUUUGCUGUGCAUGUUUUUAUCCAAACAUUUAGCAAAAUUUUCAAAAUGGUUAAUUAAUUACAACUUAAUUAUUGAUUCUCUUUGAAACAGUUUCACCUUUAUUUAUUUUUCAUAAAUAUCUUGAGUAACGUAUAGAUUUUAUUUACUAAGACAGAAUAUUGUAUAGUUUAUGAACUAGUUAAGUCAUUUGGUAAAUACUUUAAAGCAGUUUAUCUUAAGAAAAUUUUAGUAAUAAUAAGUUAUGAAUAUUUUUAACUAGCUAGUAACUUUGUAAUUUUUUUUUAUCAUCAUCCCGUACAUUAUAUACUUAUUUAUUGUAUUUAAUUUCGUUUUAUUUAUUAUUAUAUAUUAUAUGUGAUGUGCGUGUCAUUUAAUAUAAAUCAAUGUUAGUAUAAAAAGAAUCAUAAUUCCAUUUUAGAGUAACUGAAAUAAUUUAAUUAUUCAUUGGGUAGUUUAUAUUUUUAUAUGUAAACUAGUUAUUAAAUUAAAAAAACAUGAAAUAUGUGCAAAGAAUCGAGAUAGUUGUAUAUUGUUAUAACUAAUAAAUAAAUAUCAUAGUAGAGAUCUCGCGAAGAAAGGAGUAUAAAAGAAGAGCACGGAAGAGGAGACAGAACAGAGGAGUGAAGAGAAGAAGAAGAAGAAGAAGAAGAAAGAAAGAGAGAAGAGAAAAGGAAUCAGAGAAGAAAAUGGGAGUGGAGAAGCAAUUGUUGAGGCCUGGCACCGGUCCCAAGCCACUUCCUGGUCAAAACGUCACCGUUCACUGCACUGGUUUCGGUUCGUUAUUCUCUCUCCACCUUUCCCUUUCUAAACCCUAAAUCUUUCUCUUUUCCCACCGUUCUUAGAUCUCACCCUUCUUUCAUGUGCUUACCGUUGUCGAUUCUGUGUGCAGGGAAGAACGGCGACCUCACUCAGAAAUUUUGGAGGUUACCUGAUUACCAUUUCAUUUACGUCUUCCUUGUUUUUCAAUAUACUUAUUCAUCACUCCUUUUCUUGCAGCACAAAGGAUCCCGGCCAAACCCCUUUCUCCUUCAAAAUCGGACAAGGCUCUGUCAUCAAAGGUAUACCGUUUUCACUUACUGAUUAUUCAUUAUUUCUUUAAUACUUCCUAUUUUUUGUUUUCUAAUGUAAAUUCAUCGUAACAUCCCCCCUUUUUUUUUACUAUCUGUGUCUGUAGGAUGGGAUGAAGGUGUGAUUGGCAUGCAAAUUGGUGAAGUUGCUCGUCUCCGGGUAAUGCUAGCAACUCCUUAUUCUUACAUGCUGAAAAAUCUCAUAGCUUCUCGAAUCUUGUGUGACUAGCAUUUUCACUUUUGGAAUAUCCUUCACCUUUGUUUUCUCCUCUAGAUAUAUAUGCUGUGCUUUUUUCUGCAUUAGUCGUUUUUUUUUUCCGAUAUUACAUCCAACGUAGUGUUGUUGGUGUCAAUACAAAUUAGCUGUAUCUUACCAUUUGUUGGCGCUGAUGUACUUUAGGUAAUUCCUUGCUAUUUGUUUGUUGCUUCUUUUGGGAGUGGAGAGUUAUUUAAUUUUAUAGAGCAUGUUGUUCACAUUGUUGAUGAUCUUGCAGUGCACUCCUGAUUAUGCUUAUGGUGCUGGUGGCUUUCCUGCUUGGGGAAUACAGCCCAACUCUGUUCUGGAAUUUGAAAUCGAAGUCCUAAGUGUGAAUUGAAAACCUUGUUAGUUUGUCUGUCUCCGCGCAAAGAAUAAGAGCAUCUGUUUUCAUGGGCAUGUGUAACAGUGUACCAAUGCAAUGAAUGAUAUUUAAGGUGGCUGAGUUAUUUAAUCUAAAUGCUAAAUGACUUCUUGAACUGACAAUAAUAAGGAUAUUGUUAUCACGAUUUGUUUUUGUUAGUAAAGCUGUUGACUACAAUCCUACAUUUGUGCUAGUUUAAUGGUAAUAGAACUAUUUUGGCUGUAAGCCAUCCAUCCUUGAAUGUAGAAUACAUUGCUUAUCUCAUGAGCAUUUAGGUAUAGCUUGAACCUCUGAUGCAGCCUUGACCCCGGGUCUUUCUUCUUCUUCUUCAGAGGUUGCAUCUUUUACUUGAGUUAUUUUUCUCUUCUGCUUCAAUUUCUUGGCUUGGCACAGUUGAUAGAUCAACGUGGAAUUAUGAGAAUAACUGUUGUUAUUAAUGUUGAGAAGUGAAGGAUGUUAAGAAAGUAUGAUAAUGGUGCUUUCACCCUUGAAUUGUGGAUAAACACUUAACACGAUUAAUCCUAAACGAAUACUUUUAUGGGUUGUAAUCAAGGUAACAAUCAUACUGAGAGACCUUGUCGGAAGAUUUUUUUUUUUUUGAAUUAGUGAUAUUAAAUCCAUAUCAUACAUUUUUUUUUAAAAGAAUCUGGAAAAUUAUCUUCGGGAAAAUUAAUAUCUAUUGUGUAUCUCACAUAUUACAUAAUAUUCUUUUAAUAGAGAUAUUAAAGCUGAAGAAUGAAAAUAGAGUUGUGUAAAUAGCAAUGAGCUAAGUGCAAAUAGAAUCAAACGAUCUUCAGCCUAUUAGUGAACUUGUGCCAUUGUCAGUAGAAUGCAAUUGCUUCUUAGAAAGGGUAGCUUCUUCCAACUUACAUCUUCAUAUAGUGGUCAAAUUGAUUUAUUUGCAUCCUUCUCUCCCUCAUUCUUCAUCUUAUUCUUCUUACAUCGGGCCUCUGUUUCAAUUUUCAUCUUCUUUUUCCGCACCUUUUUUUCCCUCACUCUUCAUCUUCUUUUUAUUGUUUUUAUUUAUUAAAAAAAUACCGUAUUUGCAAUCUAAAAUAUAUUUUUUAUGUUUUUUUAAGACAAUCCAAAACUAAAAAUAAAUAUCUUAUACAAGAGGAUAAAUUUGAAAUUUUAAAAUUUAGGGGAGUGGCAGUUGAAAGUAUAGAAGUGCAGAGUAUACAUAGUCUCCUUUGAUGGAGAUCAUGGAUAAAAAGACCAAUGCUUCGUAGAUUGUAAAAAACUAAGGAGUCUUUAAUUGAGGAUACCUUUUUUAUUCAGACUUGUAUUGAAUAAAUUCAGGUUGCACAGAAAAAUUUCCAUCAAGACCUUUUUCUUCUUUAUAAAAAAUUUUCAAAAUAAGCAAGGUAGAGAAAAGUAAUGGAAAUUGACACUUUCAAUUACAGCUUAAUUUCUAAUCAUGGGUCCUGAAAAUUAACCCAACUCUAUUAUGCCAACAACUUUUGGUCAUUUAAGAUUUUACAUAAGGAGUUUUUUCACCUUGAAAAAACAUGCUUUUGUGCUGUAAGAAGUAUAUAUAAACCAAAGAAGUAUCUCUUUUGGUACAAUUGUGCACCAAUACCUCAUGUCAUGUUGGUCAAAGUCCUCAAACUGGUAACUUUAAUAUUAAAAACUUCUGCAAAUCGUCAUUUCUAAUUUAGAUAUUAAGUUUUCUGCAAAGGUUAGAAAAAAAAGGUUUGCGUGAUUUAUGCGAAUAAGUUAUUUUUUAAUUUUUUAUGGAUCAAACUAUUACCUGAUAUAACAUUCAAAUUGUCAACGCUGCAUUCGCAUCACCAGACCUUAUAAAUUUUCACGGUGAAAGGAUGCAAGAUCUCUUUCAAUGCAGUGAUGAUUAAACUAUGAUGAAGGUUUUCAUAGAGAAUAAUUCUGCAUUGCAAAUCAUUCCAAUAUUCCAAUACUGCUAAAGUUGGUUUCAAGCAGAGGAAUUCAGAACAAAGAUAUCGUGACAGUAUUCAGGUUAAUAAUUUGCCAUUUUGCUCAGAAAAAUAAAGUAUUUAGUAGGACAACUACUAUCAGUGGUUCUGAUAAAGCUAGCUGAAAUAUCAUUUGAAGUGGAAAAAAAGUGUAUCGAGUAUAAAUUUUUUUUCCCUUUCCCUUUUAAAAGGGAUAAAUAAAAUCUGAAAGCAAUCAAUUCAUGUAUGUUUUAUUUAAUGAAAAAGGUGGAAGGAAUCCCUGAAUUGUAGCAUCCAGUCUCUGCAAUCCAACCGCACUUUGGUGUAGCUGUAACCCAAAGGAAAGACCUCAUUAUAGAUUUUGGUAUUUGGUGCUUGUGCCCUCUCCUCCAAGCAAAAUGGUAUUAUUUCUUUUAUGUUAUGUGACACAUUUUUUCCCAUUCCACUACACUACCUAUUAGAUUAAUCGUAUCCAUAUUGCCAUGAUUAUGUUGACUUGAUAAGUCUUCACACACAAUAAGAUUAAACAGCUUCUUAUUAUAUGGAUUUAUAAGCACAAUGUAUGAACUCAUUGUCUGAGGAAUUCAUCCCAGCACCAUACAGAUAACUUACAAUAUAUGCAUGAAUUAUUACAUGGUAUAAUGGUAUUGCCCUUUUAUAAAUUUGGAGUCUUUUGUUCUGUUUGUUUUAGCUUUAUCAUAAAAUGCACGGGUGUAGUAUGUUAGAUUGGAUGAUUGUGGUUAGUGGGCUAAAAAUGGGAGCUGCACUUGAUGAACAUGAUCCAGUAUUUGCAUAAUAAUUCUCUUAUUUUUAUGGUCGUGCUUUGUUGCAUCAUUGAUUCCAUGUACCUCGUGCCAAUAUGGUCACUUUGGUGGGGGCGAUUGGGCCCUGGAGUUUGGUUUCAUUUCAAUGACUAGCUAACAACAAAUUACCAAGUUAAUGAGUGUAUUAGAUUAUCUAUGAGUGAAUGGCACAUGUUUGUGUCUUUGCUCCACUGAACUCUGGCUUUUGUUUCGGCAAUGUUAUUGCCGUCAUAAUUGUUUUAAUUAUAACCAUUCAACGCUAUGACAAAUGUGCCAAUGCUUUUGCUUUGAUAAUAGCCAGAUAAUUUAUCAAUUCAUUUCUUAAGCAACUUUCACAUUUUGCUUCAUACAUUGGGAAGCAAUGAAUGAUAAAUCAGGACUGUUGUGGAAGUUACAUGUCACCAAAAGAAAAUCAUGGCUAAAUCUUCAAUCAUUACAUAACAACUAGUAAGAUAGUGUAACUUUGCAAUUUCACUUCUUUCGGAAGGAUAAUUUAAACAACAUUUAAAAAAAGUAAAAUAUAAUUCUGAUAAAGGAUAAAAAUCAUCAUUAUUGUCAUUUUAAUAUACUUAGAUUAACAUUAAUUAUUUCAAUAGCAUUAAACCAUUAGAAUCUUGACUAAAAAGAUUAUUGAAUAAACACAAUUUGAUCAAUAGUGAUGCAUUUUAAUUUUUUUUUCUUAAGUCAAUUGAGAAAAAUGCCUAAGUUAAUAGAAUUUAUCACUGUCUUAAGAAAGACACUUCUUAAGAUUUUUUAUAGGAACCUACAGUAAGAGAUGAAGAACUCCCAGGUUAACAUUUCACAAAAAUGUUAAUGUUUGAACUUACAAUACCAUAUGUAAUGCAUAAAUAUUUUUAUAAUAUUAUAGAAAAUAAUGGUUUAAAAUCAUCAAAAGAGACUCCUCUUUUACUUAAAGUACAAAAUUAAUCAAAUUUAGGUACUAUAAACUAAAAAUGCAGAUAAAAAAACUAUAAACUAAAAAUUAUUAAUCAAAGAAAAUUUUUCUAAAGGCAAAACAGAAUGAAAAAAUUGUUUUUGAAGGAAAAAAAAAUCAUUAUUUUACCUAACAAAAUAGCAUAAAGGGCGAAAAAGGAAAAAAAAAGGAAGGGCAAAAGUGGGAUUUGAUUGUGUAUAUAGUGGGGGGCAUGCACACCACUGUCCAACCUCCCUCCAGUGCUUCUUUCCCACAUUUUCUUGAAACUGUUCAUUGUCUUUGCCUUUCUUUCUCUCGGCCAAUCCCUCCGACUGUAAGUCUUUCCAAAUCUGAGUAACCUUGUCCUCGUUUCUCAUUUUUCUUAUCUGUCCUUUAGUUUGUUAUUGGGUAACACAAAUUCAUAUUAAAGGUGAAGGCUUUAAUUCAAUUGGGGUUACCAUCUCCGAUAUGAUUGAAUUCAGUCUUUCUUUUUUCUUUUAAUUGGGAUCAUCUUGGCUAAAUUAACGACCUUUUUUUGGUUGCUGACAAAUUUCAGGAUUACAGAGUUGUUCAAUUUUACUUUUUAUUUCUUGUCGCUGAGUAGAACAACUGCAAUUUUCAAGGAAUUAAAAAAUGUAAUUGGGUAGUUACCCUACUGGGUCACGUGGCUUUCAUGGCCUUCUUCCUUAGCUGCCAACAAGUUAACAUCAUGAUGAUUACUUUCUCUGUAAUCUUAUUAUGUUCCUUGUUAUGCCAGAUUAGUCUCUCCCGCAAUUGGAUAGAAAAUUAAGAGAAGACCGAGGCUUCUACAGUUUCAUGUUUUUGAAGAAAUGAAUGGAUGAGUUAUUGAUAUUUUCUCAUUUAUAAUAAAAUAAAAAACUUUGUUUUGGUUUUUAUAAUAUAACACUUUGUUGUUUUCCUUGCUACUACUGUGUUUGCUAGCAUCAAAUUUGUUUUAAUCUUGUUUCAGAGUAAUUGGUGCUGAGGGCAUAACAUCUUGCUGAAGCUCUAAGCGAUUGUGAAAUCUUAAGUCACACAGGAAGAAAUCAGCAUGCGGUGGUUGGGUCUUAUGUUUUAUGUAUAUCGUCAAGUUGUACGCUUGAACUUAUAUUGUAAAGUUAUUCUAUAGCUUCCCAGUCCCGUCAAUCCUUUUACUUUGUUACUUUUGGAGUUUGGUUCUUUAUUCUUAACUACUGCCAUGGAAGACAAGCACUGUUUGAUAACUUCUUCAGAUAAGUAUAGAAUUGGGUGAAAGAUUGGGAAGGAAGAUAGAGCCUGGUAUUUGUUCCUACGGUAUUGUUGUGUUUCUGUAGUUCUAGCUGAUUUUGAUCUUUAAUUAGCUUGAUUCCUUCAUUAUCACAUUCCAUUGGGACCUUUUCUUGGGUGUGCAUUACAUUCUAGUGUGGUAGGAUCCAAAAGAAGUUAUGGUGUGCCAAGCAGCGAGCCAAACAAGAUUUCGGGCUUUGAAACAUGAGAAUGGCAUUGAAGGUGAACCGACAAUUAUUGUUAGAGUGAUAGCAUGCUUUCAACCUUUGCACGAUUGUCAGGUUAGUAACCUAUUGCUAAUUCUUAGUGUUUUGCAAUUGCAUUUCUUUCCUAAUACUGUAGACAUGAUUUUGAAACCAGCUGUUUGAAGAAAAUUUUCAUUAUGCCCCUUUUCUUCGUGUAGAACAUUUACUAUUAAUGAUCACUAGAUCUAUGGUAUCAGCUAUUGGACAAUUUUAUGAGUGAUAUCUUCUAACUCUUUGCAGGCUGAAUACUUCCGUCAUCUUCUUAAACCUGUCACGUAGAUUACUUUGCAUUUAUUUCUCUUUAAGCUGGAAUUUUCUGUUUCUGUCAUUUGUUCUAAAGAGAGGCAGCAAGUCAUUGAAAAACCCAUAUCAAGACGCCAUAACAUCUACUGGUAUGUAUUUUCAAAUGCUCUUUUCAUCUUCACGUCUGAGAGGUUCAAGUUUUUCAUCAUCAGCAUUGAUCGGUCUGUUCUAUUGUUCUUUAGGUCAUAUUUUUCGUUGGAUGGUUAAGGCUCAUAGGUCUUGGCCUUACCCACAGCACGUGGCUUGGCCAUCACCUUACUUUAAUAGCCCUUGCACCUCAGCAGAGCCCAGUUCGCUGGUUCGCUCAACAUACAUGAACUCUAGCCCUUGCAUCUUUCCUGCUGUCAGCUUAUUUCCCGGGUUCACAGCUCCUGCUAUCCCAGAUUUGAAGAGUGAGAAGACCAAGGAAGUGCAAGGAUUCCUUCAGCAUCCCAGUUUGGAACCAUGUCUGAAUGGAACACAUACUGGAGAGGCUAUGCAAAAUGCAUCUUUGCAGAAGAAGUUGCUUGUGUUUGACCACUCUGGUAGUAAGACAAGGUUGCUUUAUAGUCCUGUCUUCCCUUUUGUCCAGAGUCCAAUUGUUACCGCUACCCAAUUUACUCAAGUUUAUGAUGUAAACGAAGAAACACGAACAACUAAUAUAGGUCUAAAGCAUUGGCCAGUGUACACUUCACCAGAAGAGACUGGUAAGGAUCGUGUAGAUAAUGAAGAAAGUGAAAUGCAUGAAGACACAGAAGAAAUCAAUGCAUUGCUUUAUUCUGAUGAUUCUUAUGAUGAUGAUGAUGGUGAUGAUGAUGAGGUAACUAGUACAGGUCAUUCUCCGUUGGUUACUGAAAAAACUUGUGUGACUCAAGAACAGUUUGUGGAUAUGAAGGAGGAAGUUGUUAGCACUGAUUGGCCAAACAAAAGGCAGAAGUUAAUUGAUGGUGGAUUCAAUAGAUUACCACCACUUGUGGAGAGUGCUAGUUCCGAAAGGCUAGAUAAAACGUGUGAGUAUGCCAGUGAUGUUGAAUCAAACUAUUCUAGUAGUGGUGGGGUGUAUGCUACAAGGCAAACUAAAGAGAAAUCAACAGCUGCUGAUAUUCAAUUGAAAAAGGAUAAAAUCCGUAGACUGGUGAGAGUUCUUGAGAACUUUAUUCCAGGAGCAAAAGGAAAGCACCCCCUAUUAGUCAUCGAUGGUACAAUUGAGUACUUGGAAUCUCUGAUGUCCCAAACUGGUACACUGAAAUAUAACUAAGUGCUCAUUGUGGUGGUUACAAAAUGGUUGAAGGGCACAUUGAUGGUGAAAAAAGUUGUAUGUUGAAUCAUUAGAUUUAUUGCAUUAUAAGUUUGAACUUAUCAUCCUUGCUUCUUUGAUCUUGUUCCUCGAGGUGUAUUCAUGUUUUACCAAUAAAAGGGAUGAAAGCGGCAAUAGAGGGUACUGCACUUUGCCACUGCAAUAUGGGAUUUAGGAGAUUUAAAUUUGAUUUGGAUUAAAGAUAUUUUAUCUUUUAGCUUUUGGAGGAUUAAAGGUCAGAGAGAUUGAAGGGAUGGGUGAUGGUAGUGGAUGGCUGUGCUGUAAAUGAGGACACUUUUUUCUCCCGGAGUGUUGAAUUCUCUUGUUGAUUGAAUGCAUGCGCGUUAGGUAACUGGGGUCCCACUUUCCACCCUCCCUUUAAUUCCUGAUUUUAUGCUCUGUCCUCUCUUCCAAGCUUGGCUUGUACACAUAUAAUGCUAGCGUAGACUAUAAAGUACCAAGAAAGUUCCAUGUUGGGGCGUGCUUGAAUGAGGAGCGUGGUGUUUCAUCAUGACUUGUUGGGGCCCUUUGUUGCAUACACACAACACGUUGUGGUAAAGGUUUCUUUGUUUUACGUGUUGAGGGUUGAAUCAUAGGUGAUUCUAUUUUCUACGUUGUAAUUGAGAGGUGGCUUGAGUAUUCUAUAUUUCUUUUUCAUGAUGUUACUAUGUAUGUAUCUGUCGGUUGUGUGAUUGUAUGAAUAAUUGGAGUGUCAAUGUUUGUAUUCCGGUUUCAUGUUUCUAUCUUCAUUGUCAUUGUCUUAUCUGCUCAAUACUUAAAUACUACCAAUCCAUCUUUCAUAACUUGUUCUGUUUCAGUUGAUUUUGCAUUAAAGUAAGCCAGAAAACGUGCAAUAAGAAAUACUAAAAAAGUGAUAACCCUAUCUUUUCACCUGUGAGACGGAAAGACUGGAAAUUUCUCAAACCUGAUGAGAUGGGUCCCCACCAGUUUGGUAAAAUCUUUAUGCAAACAAAAGUUCAAAUUAACUUUAGAAUAUUGUCUGUCUGCGUUGUGCGAGUGCGACACUUGUAGCUUACAUGAUAAUAAUUUCUUCAAUAUUUAAUAUUUGUAUUAGUUAAUCUAAGGAUCUGUGUGGAAAUUAAAGUUUAUUAAUUAUUUUGUUCAGUCCCGUCACACUUGUAGUCUAGGCAGUUUUGGCUUUGUAGGUCUAUCUUUUGUGUCAUACUUUGUUGACAUAAAGCAAUGGUGUUAAAUGAACACUAAUCUCUCAAUCAUGCCGUCACUUAUCUACAAAACAUGAACACCUUAAGAAAAUUUCUGCUUUUAUUAGUUAUUAUAAAAUUUUCAUAUGGGUUUUACUUUACCAUUUAUUUCUCAAGUUUUUGCAUGAGAUAGCGAAUUCAGAUAAAUCGGAAACAGAAGGUGGUUCCUCGUUGACUAAUCGGUCAACCAUGAAUCAGAAGAGGCUACUUAUGCAACUGAAGCAAACGCUAUUUUUCUUCAGAACUUUUUCAAGUUUGGAAAGUUUAGUUUGAUAUAAAACUAAAUUUAGCACAAAAGCGAUAUUAAUUAAGGUUUCUGAAUGAAAUUUCGGAAGCAGAACUUAUUGAAUUUUACUUUCUAGCUUUCCUUCUGAAAGAUUUCUAUUUGUACGUUUUAAGAAUAUAAAUAUUAAAAUCAUUUUUUAGUUUUAAAAAUUAAUUUUACUUCCAUUUUUCAUUUUAAAAUAAAUUAAUUUAAGUUUUUUAUAUUUUAAAGUUAGUUUAAUUAAAUGUUUGUUGAUGGUUAUAAUAAUAAUAAUAAUGCAUAUGAUUAAUAGUGAUAAUCUUUUUGUCAUAAAGAUAGUGAUGUUAUUAAUAAUGAUGAUAGUAUUGAUGUAGUAAUAACAACAAAAAUCAUUACUAAAUAUAAUACUAAUAUAUUAAAAUAAAAAUCAAAUCUGUAAUUUUUUUAAAUAAAUGUAAAAAGAAAAUGUUUUAAAACAGGUAAAAACGUUUCGAUUACAUUUUUAUCCAAGAAAAUUAUUUUAAAAAUUAAAUUUUAAAACUUAAAACAAAAAAAAAA